CUAAAUUUUUUUCAACAAAUUUUUUUUUGUUAAAUAGAAAAGCUCUAGAGGAGAAAAACUCUCUGCAUAUCUAGAGGAUAUCUAGACUAUGGACAAAGGAAGUUCAUCUGCUUUGUGAGGACUCCUACCAUCGGCUACACGAGUUGUGGUUGUUGCAUAUUCGCUUUCACUAUGGAGAAAAUUAUUUUGAAUCGCCUUAUUGAAAAUUCUGACUCCGCCACGGUAUAUAAUAAGGAUGUUUGAGGGGAAGGAAGACAGUGAAAAGGAGAAGGGAAAGUUGAAUGGAAGAUAUGUGAUGGAAAAAGUAUAUAGUAGGGGAUUUGGGAAGGAAAAACUAUUUGUUUCUUGUUUGGUUCAAAGAGGUACUCACUCCGUCCCAUUUUAUGUGAGAUAGUUUGAC